rnacentral:sRNA from 1 species
CUCCAGGUUUACCAUAUGGAAAGGUGGCACACUAAAAGAGUAGAGAGAGAAAGAAGGACAGUGUAGAAAGAGGAAGACACGGGACAGCAUGCAGUCUCCGUCAGAUUGAAGAAACAAGCUGGUGACAUGUUAGAAAUAGUAAGUAAGUCGAUAUGAAAACGGUCAAUAAGGCUGAAAGGAAACAGUGAGUUAUACUGGAUGAAGAACGUAAGGCUGUAAUCAGUGCUAGUUAGCGGGGUGAGAAGGACAUAGUCAAUUGGCUGCUACAACAAAAAGCAUUACAGAAAGUGCAAGUGUAAAGCAAGAGUCAGGAGCGGUUACAGGAUGUGUCUAUGGUUACCUGGUCUUCUAUCCGUUGCCGCUGCUUUUAACUGUAAAAAUGAGUACAUUCGAGUAAAAUUUUAUGUCAACUUUAUGAAUAAAGGAAAUGCUUUCUAGACUAACGCCGUAGUAUAAGACUUACAUGAUCCAGUUCCUGUUUAAGAGUGUGUAAUUUUUCCUCUUGGUUUCGGAGAGACUCUUGUUUUUGUUGCAUUUCUGAAAAAUAAUAAACGUUUGUUAAAAUUUUUGUUUGUUGAUUUGUUGUUAUCGUCGGUUUAAAGGUUGCCGUUCGUGAAAUUCAUUGUUGUAGAAAAAAAAUAAGUAACAAUAUUUUGUCACUAUAGAUCGUAUUGUAUAUUCAUUAAAAGUUGAAUUUAUGUGAUAAAAUAAUGUUCCAAUACUGUGGAAUCAUUAUAUAUUAAUAUAUUUAAUGAAGAUGGGAAUUCAAAGAGAUUUUGUGGAACUCUUUUACAUUUCACGGUAACAGAAGAUUCUUUUUUAGUUUUGCUGUAGCUGCAAAUCAGCAUCUUUCAUAAAUUUAAAUCGUUUU